rnacentral:rRNA from 1 species
UACGUAGGGAGCAAGCGUUGUCCGGAAUUAUUGGGCGUAAAGCGCGCGCAGGCGGUCCUUUAAGUCUGAUGUGAAAUCCCACGGCUCAACCGUGGAAGGUCAUUGGAAACUGGGGGACUUGAGUACAGAAGAGGAAAGCGGAAUUCCAAGUGUAGCGGUGAAAUGCGUAGAGAUUUGGAGGAACACCAGUGGCGAAGGCGGCUUUCUGGUCUGUAACUGACGCUGAGGCGCGAAAGCGUGGGGAGCAAACAGG